AUAGGCAAGGACACUAUUGCUGAUUUACUAACCUCUAUAAGAAAUGCGGACAUGAAUAGAAAAGGAACAGUUCGAGUAGUAUCUACAAAUAUUACCAAAAACAUUGUUAAAAUACUUCUACAAGAGGGUAGAAAGACUAGAAAAGGAAUAUAUAGAACAAGAACCUUUUUAAAGCGUAUCAGCCGACCCGGCUUACGAAUUUAUACCAACUAUCAAGGAAUUCCUAAAGUUUUGGGUGGAAUGGGAAUUGCUAUUCUUUCUACUUCUCAAGGAAUAAUGACAGAUCGAGAAGCUCGACUAAACAGAAUUGGGGGAGAAGUCUUAUGUUAUAUAUGGUAA
rnacentral:rRNA from 1 species